rnacentral:rRNA from 1 species
AUGCUGGCCGCCGCCGCCUCCGUGAAGUUCUCCCCGGCGUCCGCCGGUACCAGUAGCACCACCAAGUUGGCCUUCAAGCCUGUCCACCUCCCUUUCCUCCCCAACGCCGUCCCGCGUCCCCUCUCCCUCUCGGCGCGUCCUCUGUACCGCCAGGAGCCGUUCCUGGCGGCGGCCCGCAACGACCGUGCCGCGUCAACGGCGCCCCCUGCAGCCACCGCGGAUGGCGCGCGGCCGGUGGAGACGGCGGCCGCGCCGGAGGCCGCGAAGAGCGCCAAGAUCGGGGUCUACUUCGCCACGUGGUGGGCGCUGAACGUGAUCUUCAACAUAUACAACAAGAAGGUGCUGAAUGCGUUCCCGUACCCGUGGCUCACGUCGACCCUGUCCCUGGCCGCCGGCUCCGCCAUCAUGCUCGUGUCCUGGGCCACCAGGAUCGCCGAGGCGCCCCAGACGGACCUCGAUUUCUGGAAGGCUCUCUCUCCGGUGGCGAUUGCGCACACGAUCGGGCACGUGGCGGCGACGGUGAGCAUGGCGAAGGUGGCCGUGUCCUUCACGCACAUCAUCAAGAGCGCGGAGCCGGCGUUCAGCGUGCUCGUCUCGAGAUUCUUCCUCGGCGAGCACUUCCCGUUGCCGGUCUACUUCUCCCUCCUCCCGAUCAUAGGUGGAUGCGCUCUCGCGGCCGUCACCGAGCUCAAUUUCAACAUGAUUGGAUUCCUGGGGGCGAUGAUCUCCAACCUGGCUUUUGUGUUCCGGAACAUAUUCUCCAAGAAAGGGAUGAAGGGCAAGUCGGUGAGCGGGAUGAACUACUAUGCCUGCCUCUCCAUGCUGUCCCUGGUGAUCCUCCUCCCUUUCGCCUUCGCCAUGGAGGGCCCCAAGGUGUGGGCUGCAGGCUGGCAGAAUGCAGUCGCCGAGAUCGGUCCCAACUUCGUCUGGUGGGUGGCGGCGCAGAGCGUGUUCUACCACCUGUACAACCAGGUGUCGUACAUGUCGCUGGACGAGAUCUCGCCGCUGACAUUCAGCGUGGGCAACACCAUGAAGCGCAUCUCGGUCAUCGUCGCGUCCAUCAUCAUCUUCCGCACGCCGGUGCAGCCCGUCAACGCGCUCGGGGCGGCCAUCGCCAUCCUCGGAACCUUCAUCUACUCCCAGGUGAUCCAUCUCACACGUCUCACUUACCUCACCGCGUACGUAAGGAAGAAGGAAGCAAGCAAUUCAGAAUUUGACACUAAAACUUUGUUGGCCUCGUGUUGCAGGCAAAGCAGUAAGGGAAAACCAUCGAAACGAUGUCUCUUCCGACGAGAGUCGGCCCGGCGGCGUUCGGACACUAUAUGUUGUUGA